UAAUAGCGUAUAUUAAAGUUGUUGCAGUUAAAAAGCUCGUAGUCGGAUGUCGGGCUCGGGCAGGCUGUCGGCUUCGGUCGGACGGCAGGCUCGGGUCUUUCUGCCUGAGGAUCCAUCUCAUUCACUUGGGGUGGGGACGCAAGCCGUUUACUUUGAAAAAAUUAGAGUGUUCAAAGCAGGCCUACGCUUGAAUACAUUAGCAUGGAAUAAUGGAAUAGGACUUUGGUGCUAUUUUGUUGGUUUAUGGGACCGAAGUAAUGAUUAACAGGGACAGUUGGGGCCGUUUAUAUUUCGUUGUCAGAGGUGAAAUUCUUGGAUUUACGAAAGAUAAACUUCUGCGAAAGCAUUCGGCAAGGAUGUUUUCAUUGA
rnacentral:rRNA from 1 species